AUGUACAAGGAGUACCGUCGUCAAGGAGAUGUACAGAGAUGGCUUCCCGUCACUGCCAGAUCCCCCUGCACCCAGAUCAUCAAGACUGCCACUGUCCACUUCAGCAUCUGCAAGCGUGAUAGCACUAAGCAGUUUCACAAGUCAGACACCAGGUUCCCGCUGGUCUACCAGAAGGCCGGGCAGCCAACCAGGAAGCUGAAGACGACCUUCAAGGCCUCAAGGCCAAACUUGUUCAUUUUAUCCAAGUCAUACGUCCAUAACCUAUUCCUGCAGGGUCCCAGCACAGGAGAGCAAGCUCCGUCCACCCCAAGCCCUGGAGCAGGCAACGUGAACAUUAGAGCCGGUUAA
rnacentral:rRNA from 1 species